CACGUAGGCGGAUCCUUAAGUCGGGGGUGAAAUCCCGAGGCUCAACCUCGGAACUGCCUUUGAUACUGGGGAUAUCGAGUCCGGGAGAGGUGAGUGGAACUGCGAGUGUAGAGGUGAAAUUCGUAGAUAUUCGCAAGAACACCAGUGGCGAAGGCGGCUCACUGGCCCGGUACUGACGCUGAGGUGCGAAAGCGUGGGGAGCAAACA
rnacentral:rRNA from 1 species